UUAAGCGACUAAGCGUACACGGUGGAUGCCCUGGCAGUCAGAGGCGAUGAAGGACGUGCUAAUCUGCGAUAAGCGUCGGUAAGGUGAUAUGAACCGUUAUAACCGGCGAUUUCCGAAUGGGGAAACCCAGUGUGUUUCGACACACUAUCAUUAACUGAAUCCAUAGGUUAAUGAGGCGAACCGGGGGAACUGAAACAUCUAAGUACCCCGAGGAAAAGAAAUCAACCGAGAUUCCCCCAGUAGCGGCGAGCGAACGGGGAGCAGCCCAGAGCCUGAAUCAGUGUGUGUGUUAGUGGAAGCGUCUGGAAAGGCGCGCGAUACAGGGUGACAGCCCCGUACACAAAAAUGCACAUGCUGUGAGCUCGAUGAGUAGGGCGGGACACGUGGUAUCCUGUCUGAAUAUGGGGGGACCAUCCUCCAAGGCUAAAUACUCCUGACUGACCGAUAGUGAACCAGUACCGUGAGGGAAAGGCGAAAAGAACCCCGGCGAGGGGAGUGAAAAAGAACCUGAAACCGUGUACGUACAAGCAGUGGGAGCACGCUUAGGCGUGUGACUGCGUACCUUUUGUAUAAUGGGUCAGCGACUUAUAUUCUGUAGCAAGGUUAACCGAAUAGGGGAGCCGAAGGGAAACCGAGUCUUAACUGGGCGUUAAGUUGCAGGGUAUAGACCCGAAACCCGGUGAUCUAGCCAUGGGCAGGUUGAAGGUUGGGUAACACUAACUGGAGGACCGAACCGACUAAUGUUGAAAAAUUAGCGGAUGACUUGUGGCUGGGGGUGAAAGGCCAAUCAAACCGGGAGAUAGCUGGUUCUCCCCGAAAGCUAUUUAGGUAGCGCCUCGUGAAUUCAUCUCCGGGGGUAGAGCACUGUUUCGGCAAGGGGGUCAUCCCGACUUACCAACCCGAUGCAAACUGCGAAUACCGGAGAAUGUUAUCACGGGAGACACACGGCGGGUGCUAACGUCCGUCGUGAAGAGGGAAACAACCCAGACCGCCAGCUAAGGUCCCAAAGUCAUGGUUAAGUGGGAAACGAUGUGGGAAGGCCCAGACAGCCAGGAUGUUGGCUUAGAAGCAGCCAUCAUUUAAAGAAAGCGUAAUAGCUCACUGGUCGAGUCGGCCUGCGCGGAAGAUGUAACGGGGCUAAACCAUGCACCGAAGCUGCGGCAGCGACGCUGNNNNNNNNNNNNNNNNNNNNNNNNNNNNNNNNNNNNNNNNNNNNNNNNNNNNNNNNNNNNNNNNNNNNNNNNNNNNNNNNNNNNNNNNNNNNNNNNNNNNNNNNUGAGGAUGCUGGAGGUAUCAGAAGUGCGAAUGCUGACAUAAGUAACGAUAAAGCGGGUGAAAAGCCCGCUCGCCGGAAGACCAAGGGUUCCUGUCCAACGUUAAUCGGGGCAGGGUGAGUCGACCCCUAAGGCGAGGCCGAAAGGCGUAGUCGAUGGGAAACAGGUUAAUAUUCCUGUACUUGGUGUUACUGCGAAGGGGGGACGGAGAAGGCUAUGUUGGCCGGGCGACGGUUGUCCCGGUUUAAGCGUGUAGGCUGGUUUUCCAGGCAAAUCCGGAAAAUCAAGGCUGAGGCGUGAUGACGAGGCACUACGGUGCUGAAGCAACAAAUGCCCUGCUUCCAGGAAAAGCCUCUAAGCAUCAGGUAACAUCAAAUCGUACCCCAAACCGACACAGGUGGUCAGGUAGAGAAUACCAAGGCGCUUGAGAGAACUCGGGUGAAGGAACUAGGCAAAAUGGUGCCGUAACUUCGGGAGAAGGCACGCUGAUAUGUAGGUGAGGUCCCUCGCGGAUGGAGCUGAAAUCAGUCGAAGAUACCAGCUGGCUGCAACUGUUUAUUAAAAACACAGCACUGUGCAAACACGAAAGUGGACGUAUACGGUGUGACGCCUGCCCGGUGCCGGAAGGUUAAUUGAUGGGGUUAGCGCAAGCGAAGCUCUUGAUCGAAGCCCCGGUAAACGGCGGCCGUAACUAUAACGGUCCUAAGGUAGCGAAAUUCCUUGUCGGGUAAGUUCCGACCUGCACGAAUGGCGUAAUGAUGGCCAGGCUGUCUCCACCCGAGACUCAGUGAAAUUGAACUCGCUGUGAAGAUGCAGUGUACCCGCGGCAAGACGGAAAGACCCCGUGAACCUUUACUAUAGCUUGACACUGAACAUUGAGCCUUGAUGUGUAGGAUAGGUGGGAGGCUUAGAAGUGUGGACGCCAGUCUGCAUGGAGCCGACCUUGAAAUACCACCCUUUAAUGUUUGAUGUUCUAACGUUGACCCGUAAUCCGGGUUGCGGACAGUGUCUGGUGGGUAGUUUGACUGGGGCGGUCUCCUCCUAAAGAGUAACGGAGGAGCACGAAGGUUGGCUAAUCCUGGUCGGACAUCAGGAGGUUAGUGCAAUGGCAUAAGCCAGCUUGACUGCGAGCGUGACGGCGCGAGCAGGUGCGAAAGCAGGUCAUAGUGAUCCGGUGGUUCUGAAUGGAAGGGCCAUCGCUCAACGGAUAAAAGGUACUCCGGGGAUAACAGGCUGAUACCGCCCAAGAGUUCAUAUCGACGGCGGUGUUUGGCACCUCGAUGUCGGCUCAUCACAUCCUGGGGCUGAAGUAGGUCCCAAGGGUAUGGCUGUUCGCCAUUUAAAGUGGUACGCGAGCUGGGUUUAGAACGUCGUGAGACAGUUCGGUCCCUAUCUGCCGUGGGCGCUGGAGAACUGAGGGGGGCUGCUCCUAGUACGAGAGGACCGGAGUGGACGCAUCACUGGUGUUCGGGUUGUCAUGCCAAUGGCACUGCCCGGUAGCUAAAUGCGGAAGAGAUAAGUGCUGAAAGCAUCUAAGCACGAAACUUGCCCCGAGAUGAGUUCUCCCUGACCCUUUAAGGGUCCUGAAGGAACGUUGAAGACGACGACGUUGAUAGGCCGGGUGUGUAAGCGCAGCGAUGCGUUGAGCUAACCGGUACUAAUGAACCGUGAGGCUUAACCU
rnacentral:rRNA from 1 species